GCCCUGAGAGCCGUGAAGAGUUUUAUUUGGCGAGUGAAUGAGCCAGUUUUGGUUGCCAUGGCUACCUUGAUGUCCUGGGCCGAUUGAAGACAUUUCCUCUGCGGGAUCAUUUAAACUUCGGAGGGAAGCCAGAAGUUGCACGGGGCCAGACCUGUGCUGGUGAUCAAAUACAGAACCUCACAUGUGUUAG